rnacentral:rRNA from 1 species
UACGUAGGGUGCGAGCGUUAAUCGGAAUUACUGGGCGUAAAGCGUGCGCAGGCGGUUCGUUGUGUCGGCGGUGAAAGCCCCGGGCUUAACCUGGGAAUGGCCGUUGAAACUGGCGAACUGGAGUGUGGCAGAGGGGGGUGGAAUUCCGCGUGUAGCAGUGAAAUGCGUAGAGAUGCGGAGGAACACCGAUGGCGGAAGGCAGCCCCCUGGGGCUGACACUGACGCCUCAGGCACGAAAGCGUGGGGAGCAAACAGG